rnacentral:rRNA from 1 species
AGGGUGCGAGCGUUAAUCGGAAUUAUUGGGCGUAAAGCGUACGUAGGCGGUUUUGUAAGACAGAUGUGAAAUGCCUGGGCUCAACCUUGGAAUUGCAUUUGUGACUGCAAAGCUAGAGUGUGUCAGAGGGAGAUAGAAUUCCACAUGUAGCAGUGAAAUGCGUAGAUAUGUGGAGGAAUACCGAUGGCGAAGGCAGUCUCCUGGGAUAACACUGACGCUCAUGUACGAAAGCGUGGGGAGCAAACAGGAUUAGAUACCCUGGUAGUCCACGCCGUAAACGAUGUCUACUAGUUGUUGGAUCUUAAUUGAUUUAGUAACGUAGCUAACGCGUGAAGUAGACCGCCUGGGGAGUACGGUCGCAAGAUUAAAACUCAAAGGAAUUGACGGGGACCCGCACAAGCGGUGGAUGAUGUGGAUUAAUUCGAUGCAACGCGAAAAACCUUACCUACCCUUGACAUGUUAGAAACUAUAAAGAGAUUUAUAGGUGCUUGCAAAAG